AUUGAACGCUGGCGGCAGGCCUAACACAUGCAAGUCGAGCGGAGCGGCGGACGGGUGAGUAAGGACUAGGAAUCUGACUGGUCGUGGGGGAUAACGUCAGGAAACGGGAGCUAAUACAGCAUCCUCUUGGCUGAGCCUAGGUCGGAUUCGCUAGUGGGUGGGGUAAAGGCCUACCAAGGCGACGAUCCGUAACUGGUCUGAGAGGAUGAUCAGUCACACUGGAACUGAGACACGGUCCAGACUCCUACGGGAGGCAGCAGUGGGGAAUAUUGGACAAUGGGCGAAAGCCUGAUCCAGCCAUGCCGCGUGUGUGAAGAAGGUCUUCGGAUUGUAAAGCACUUUUAGUUGGGAGGCGUUACCAACAGAAUAAGCACCGGCUAACUUCGUGCCAGCAGCCGCGGUAAUAC
rnacentral:rRNA from 1 species